AGAGUUUGAUCAUGGCUCAGAUUGAACGCUGGCGGCAUGCUUUACACAUGCAAGUCGAGCGGCAGCGCGGGGGCAACCCUGGCGGCGAGCGGCGAACGGGUGAGUAAUGCAUCGGAACGUGUCCCGUAAUGGGGGAUAACGCCGCGAAAGCGGCGCUAAUACCGCAUACGCUCUACGGAGGAAAGUGGGGGAUCUGCAAGGACCUCACGUUAGGGGAGCGGCCGAUGUCCGAUUAGCUAGUUGGUGGGGUAACGGCCUACCAAGGCGACGAUCGGUAGCUGGUCUGAGAGGAUGAUCAGCCACACUGGGACUGAGACACGGCCCAGACUCCUACGGGAGGCAGCAGUGGGGAAUUUUGGACAAUGGGGGCAACCCUGAUCCAGCCAUGCCGCGUGCGGGAAGAAGGCCUUCGGGUUGUAAACCGCUUUUAGCCGGGAAGAAAAGGCGCGAGUUAAUACCUUGCGUUUUUGACGGUACCGGCGGAAUAAGCACCGGCUAACUACGUGCCAGCAGCCGCGGUA
rnacentral:rRNA from 1 species